rnacentral:rRNA from 1 species
UUUAUAAACCAUACCACGUUGAAAGCACCGGUUCUCGUCCGAUCACCGAAGUUAAGCAGCAUUGGGCCCGGUUAGUACUUGCAUGGGUGACCGACUGGGAAUUCCGGGUGUUACCGGCU